UCUACAGCCAUACCACCCUGAAGGUGCCCGAUUUCAUCUGAUCUCCGAGGCUAAGCAGGGCUAGAGGCGGGCCUGGUUGGUACUUGGAUGAUAGAA
rnacentral:rRNA from 1 species